CCAAAAACAAAAAAAAAAACAAAUUAAGACAGAAAAAGGAAAACUGGGGAAACAACUCGGUAAGCAGUGAGAUCAAAGCUUUGAACACAUUCAAAUCCCACGGGGCCAAUAAUAGAGAAAUCCCAAGAUCUGGGGCUUUGAUAGAAUUGAAUCAAUAUAUAUAUAUAUAUACGGCGUUUCGAGCAAAUUAAUCAUUAGUUCUCGUGAAGUUGGCAAGAGGCUCCUCCUUGCACUCUUUCUUCAUCUGAGAGAGAGGGGUGACACCCAAAAAGCUAGGGUUCUUAAAUUUGAUACUGAAUCAGUUUUAGAGUGCGUUUGUGUGCACGCACUCUCCAUUGUUCUCUUUUUUGGUUUUGGUUGUAGAAGGAAUUAGCCAUCAUGCAACGUUGCCAAGAUCAGAGGAUUAAUCUUGGUGAACUGAAAGGUCACAUUGUGAAGAAGAUUGGUGUUGAAAGAUCUAAAAAGUAUUUUUACUACCUAAGUAGGUUCCUGUGUCAUAAGCUUGCAAAGAGGGAGUUUGAUAAGUCAUGUUUCAGGGUGUUAGGGAGGGAGAAUCUCUCUCUACACAACCACUUGAUCCGUUCCAUCUUGAGAAACGCAACUGUCUCCAAGUCCCCACCAACAGUUCAAGAUCUGGCCAGGCCUGUUCAGAGUGGAGGAGAUGGAUCUUUAGUCCCUUACCAUAAUAAUCAGAAUGGUCCUGUUUGGUCCAACGGGAAGGUUGAACAUAUGUUGCAACAGCCAGUUUGUAGUAAUGUCGGUUUAGAAAACGGUGAUUUGAGUCGGUUUGAUGAUCAAAGAUCAGGCAGAUAUGGAAGAGAAGGUGAGUUUCUUGGCCCAAGUAAAAAUCUUGGAGCUGUAAAUGUAUCAGUGAGUAGUCCUCUGGUCGCACCUCUAGGGAUACCGAUUUGUUCAGCUAGUGUCGGUGGUAGAACGGUUCCUGUUUCAACCGUAAUGAGUUGCUUACCAGAGACAGAGAUGGUGAGGAAAAGGAUGGAGAGUAUUGCAGUAGCACAUGGUCUUGAAGGUGUUUCGAUGGAGUGUGCUAAUACGUUGAAUGCCAUGUUGGACGUUUAUCUCAAGAAGCUGAUCAAAUCUUGCACUGAUUUGGUCGGAGCUCGGUCCACCAAGCAGCAGAGUCAGAACAGUUUGCAAGAUCAUCAUUACUCUGUGUCACUGCUUGAUUUUAGAACGGCCAUGGAGUUAAAUCCACAACAGCUUGGCGAAAACUGGCCUACUCUCCGAGAGAGAAUAUCCGUGAGGUCUUUCGAGGAACAAGACUUGGAGGUGUGAAAGAAAAUAUUGGACAUGGUAGAUAAUGUCUGAGUCCAGCAUGCUCUCGUCCAAAAGGGGGAAAGAGAGUGAAGUUAUGAUCCUGCAGCAGCAGAAGAAGACUCAGAGAGCAGCCUCUCGUCCUAUUCAAGCACUGGAAGUUGUGGGUUCUUUUGUAGAAAAUCGGCUGAGGUCUUUUGCUUUUCCUGUUGACGGUGCUCACUUCACUUGUGAUACUAUGUUAGUUAGCAAAUGAGCUUCACAGGAGUCGUCUUCUGGCUACGUUGGAACGAGACUAGUUACUACAAUGCAUGUUUGACUAGUGAACCGGGCACUUUUUUUCUCAAGAAGAAGAAGAUGGCACAGCACCAAAAUUGUUGAAGAUAUGAUGAAGAAGAAGAUGAAAAAUUGACACCCCCUUUGUUUAUUGUGUUUUGGUACAAGCUAGGAGGCAAUAAAAAAUUAUGAGUUUUAAGACGAGAAUUAAAGCAAAGUAAUUCCAUUAAAAAUUAUACUUUUUGCCAA